GCUAUUCUUGUUGGCUGCUUCAGCUAGACAGGCCAAGGACUGAAUGGGCCUGAUGAAGUUUGAACUCCUUUCUCUUAGCAAUAUUCUUUUAUGUGAGGAUUGAGAGGUUCAUUGGUAAAACAGGGUGGGGAAGUUUGCAUUUGCUGUAUCUCUACUGUGGAUAAAAAGAGCACUUCGGCACCUCAGCCCACUGAUCUAGCCCUUUUCAUAAGCAUCAAAUCCAUACGAUUUCUUUCAAACCAGAUUGGGCAUCCCAGGAUGACUUACUAGUUCCUAAUAGCAUGCUUCAGCAACUCAUCCCAGGACAACAAUGAUGGCAUUUAUCUUCAAACCAGACUAAACUGAAGUUUGUUUAACACUGCAAGGAUUAGAGCAAAAGCCAAGGUGAAAGAGCUGGGUCGGAGAGAUUUCCUGUUUGUGGAGGAUGUGGCCUUGGUUGUCCAUGGAGACUGAACUGUUUCUACACGAGAUGCCAGCAUAAGUGUCUGAAAAUGAAGUGAGGAGACAAAAUACCAAGCAUAGAAGUGCUGGAGCACACAGGACUGACACUUAAAAAUCGUUAUCAAGAAGAAGAGGUUGUGAUGGCUCAGUCAUGUCAGGAAAAUGGGAGGAGACUGUAUGCCCCAGAAUAUUUUGUACAGAGAGAUUUGAGAUGGCUCUAGUAAGCCAGGUCACCAUUUAUGGCGGUACCAUGACAUGUGCAAAAAUGGUACACAGUUGUUGAACAUCAAUGUACAAAGCUGGGAGGAGUGCACAGAAUCCCAUCCAAUCUGGGGGCAAUAUAUGGCACUGCGUGCAGCUCAACAUGGAGUGACUUUGAUCCAGAGGAUGGAAGCAAAGUGAGAAAGAAGAAAGUAGCGUGCUGUAAUCUUGGACUACAAGUCAGACAACCCAUGAAUGUGUGAAAUUUGUAACAAGAUGUGUCAUUCUUGCAUUGGGCUUGCCAGCCAUAAGCAGAUUCAUCGGGCACCUGAAUAGACCUCUUACACGUACACCAUGAUCCAGCAGAUCGAUGAUUGCCUAUAGAUUUGUAUGUGUAGUAUGGGUUGUUGCCUGUUUAUAAAUGUAGUUAACUGUUUUGCACAGGCAAGGAACAGUUUUUACAUGGAAGUACAGAUGCACUGGGUGUAGCACAUGCAUUUCCUGCAAGCAUACCAAUUUCACCUUCCUUUGAAAAUUUAACCAAAAGUCAAUAUGGGAAACCGUCAUCCGUUUAUGCAGAAGUUGUUCAUACGUGUUAUCAAACUGAAGUCUAUUUUGAGCUAUUUUUAAAAUGUCUUUGUGAAAUAAAAGAAUUUGAUCUA